AGAUCGUCCCCGUCCUCCACACUCGGCCGCCUCAACUGCGUCCCGUGAUCCCGAUGUGGUCUCCAACCCCGCGCCCGCCCCACCCACCAAACGCCAACCCUGCGGCAUCGGAGGAGCGUGACGAUGUCGACCGCCAGCGGCGGUGCAAGCCGGCGACUUGCCGGACCAGAUGGUGAGGAACCUUCUGGAGAAGGAGAGUCUUCAUCGGAGGCAAGACCACCUGCAGCUCCUUCACCUCCAUGCUCGUAGCCGUCGUCCGCUUGUUCGUGCUUGUCCAUCGAUUCCGCCAGUACCACAUCCUCGCCAAGGACUUCUCCAACCUCAACGCCAUGGUAAUUUUGUAUUUUCUCCCCUCUCUCUUUGCUUCCUGCCGGUUCACUCGAUCGGCCCAGGUUGUUGGUAUUUGCGAGACAGGCAGAAUCUCAUGAUGGCUAUUAGAAAUUUAGAAUGGAGACUUCCAAUUCUAGGUGUUUUUGUAGGUAUGCGGUACUACUUUCUGAUAUGUGGCUGGUUGAUGGAACCUGUAUAUUCCCAAUCCUUUGGAAUAGAGAUUCUAGUUGUGCUUAGUAAUGGAUUUCAUAUUAUACCUUGGAAGGUGACAACGGAAGAUAAGGUCUGUGAUUUGUACGUUCUGCUAAUGACCGACUUUCAGUAAAAAUUAAGGUGUCUGCCUUGUAGAAAAAAUUACCAAUCGUCUAGCAGUUUCCUUUAAGUAUUAUAGUAUUCCUGAUCCACCGUUGUGGUUGUUGGCUUGCACCUUUGUGUAUGUACACGCUAACGGCCGGCUGGUCGCAGCUAAUUACUCAUUAGCCAAUAUGUUAAUGAACUAUCACGAAAUUAGAGAAUCCCAAAGCAAGCAGGCAAUAGCCCAUGUACGAUCGUGGCUGGCUUAUUUUGAUGGAUGAAUCGAUCAAAUCGUGACCUGUGUAUGUGCAUGUUCUGCACUUUCACCGGCUGGAUGUAGUAAUUUUGGUUCAGAUUUGAUUGUCGCCGUCAUACUAGAGCAUAGUAGCAGCUGGUGCUAGCAGCCGAACGCAUGAGCACUUGGUGCAGCGCCGCAACAUUCGUCUUCACAACAGUGUGUUCGCUGCGCGCCAUCUUCCAUGACGCAUUGAUCCUCGGAGUCUUUGAACUUGGCAUCACAACUCAUGACAAAAAAUUCUUACAUAUUCAUCUUUGGGAAAAAGUUCAGGGCAUAUAUAGCGGGUUACUUCUGUAGAAGGAGAGUUGAGUGCUAUGGCCGGGUCUGUAAAAAAGUGGUCAAAUUAUGAUAUAUCAAAGCCCUUCACACGUGAUGACGUAUGUUGGAUGAUGGAAUGAUUAUUCUGUUCAGUGCUUGCUUUGACUUGGGUGUUCAGAGAAGUAAAACUUCAACUAUCAUGUUUAGUGAAGCAACAUAUUGUAUCUGAAGUGAAACUUUCUGUUUGAUACGGAGAUAUGAGCAUCAAACUAACAUCCAUCUAAAGAUAAGAUUGCCAAGAUAAAUCGAUGAUCCAUGGCUCAGAAGUUGAUUGCAAGAUCGAGAAGGUGGCUACUACUAGAUAGUUUUAGAUUAGGUUAUUAGAAUGUCAUUCAGGUCAAUGUUUCAAACAUUAUGUUUUAGAUGGCUGACAUGUUUAUUGCAAGGUUGAGAAUCAGACUACUACUAGGUAGUUUCACAUACUGUAGUCUUUGUAUCAUGUUCUUUGUAAAGCAACCAAGUUGAUUAAUAUA